rnacentral:rRNA from 1 species
CACGUAGGGUGCGAGCGUUGUCCGGAAUUAUUGGGCGUAAAGAGCUCGUAGGCGGUGUGUCGCGUCGGCCGUGAAAACCUGGGGCUUAACUCUGGGCUUGCGGUCGAUACGGGCAUCACUUGAGUUCGGUAGGGGAGACUGGAAUUCCUGGUGUAGCGGUGAAAUGCGCAGAUAUCAGGAGGAACACCGGUGGCGAAGGCGGGUCUCUGGGCCGAUACUGACGCUGAGGAGCGAAAGCGUGGGGAGCGAACAGG